CUUUGGGAAACAUUUCAGAAACGCUUAAAUAUAUGCAAUUUUCAACAAAUGUUCGUUUGUUUUGAUCAGUAUUUGUUUUACGGUGCUGCCAGAAUAGUCUAUACAAGUGCAUAUUUCAGUGGCUGAAAAUGAGUGGACAGACAAAUCACCACUAGUACGACUCGUUGAACCAAUGAAAGCGAAUGUAAACAUUGCUCGAGUUUUUUUGGAGGCAGUUCAAAUAGAAUCCCUGUUAAGGAAAAAUGGGAGGAAUUCAGUGAGGAGAUUGAUGCACUGAGACCAUCAAUGUGUCUUGGUUCAGAAUGGCAGAAAAUUUAGAUUGACAUGAGGUGAAAGGUAAAGAAAACACUAGCACAUAACAUGCGAAAAUUUAUGGCCACAGGUGGUGGCCUAAUACAAUUAAGCUAAUGACGCCGCUACAACGAGAAAUCGACGCUAAAGGAAAAUUACAUGCAAAAAAAAUGUUUUGCUAAAAAAAAGUGGAAUUCAUGCGUGACUUCUUACGGAAUUCAUUUCAUU